rnacentral:antisense_RNA from 1 species
GCGAAAUGUAAAGAUUUUGUACAAUAGAAGCACAAAGACAAGCCUACUGCGAAUAGGCUUGUCUU